UGUCUACACAACCCAUCCCAGACAUCGCCCUAAAUAAUCUGAGUGGAGAACGAUGGUCCUGGCUUGGAGACUUCUUCGGGAAAGAGCGUGCGGCCGAUCAGAUUCCAGAGCUCAGAUUUCACUUCCCGCAGGUCAGAUGGCGGCAGAGUGAUGUGCACAGCUGGGCCCGAGAAGUGCUGGGUCCCCAGCCGCCGGCCGAGGCCGCCUGGAAAUUCUGCUGCACUGACGUAGAAAGCAGCUGCAUUUCCAGCCCAACUGUUUCCUCAGACAAAGAUCCCUGAUUUGAUGCCCACCAAAAUCCACUUUCCAAGAUGGGACUCGGAGAAAUCAGCCUCCCAGCUUCAUUCUGCUGAACCCAGGGAGCAGACCUGGCUUUCCGCACAAGCCUCCACCUGUUGUUGGAAGAAGGAACUUAAAUGUUCAAUGUUAUAAUUUGAAUAAAAAGAGAUGUGUAUUCUGAACUGAAAAAUUCCUACUGAUGUCAGUAAGCAUGCCCUCUGCCUCUGAUCUGUCUACGGGGAUGAGAGUGUGAUGGAUGAGCAAGGCAGAUUAUAGACACUGUGAACCAUGCGAGUGCAGUCUUGUCGCUCCAGCCCACUAGUCUGGAACAAAAGUCAGUCUCGAACAUAACAACAGACACUGGGGAGCUCUCCAACAAAAGAUCACCUCCCAGAGAACAGGAUGGCGCUGGUGACUGGAUGCCAGCCCCAGGAACAGAAAUGCUGCAGCGGCACACGCCAGGCCUGCAGUGUCUCCUUGCUGCCUUUGAAGAAACUGCAAAAAGAUCAAGAACAGUGCAAAGUAGGACUUGAGCACCUAAGGUCCUUGAUUUGGCUCAAUUAAAAUCUUGGAGUUAGUAGUGACAUUUUGAUUAACCUCUGCUCCAUUUUCGCUGGCAAUGACCCACUGCUAGCAGACUACUUAGAACCAAUCAAUCAAGUGGAAACUCUGGGGCUGUCUCCACCCCUUCCAUUUCUCUGCCCUCCACACCAACUGGUAAGACAAGGGGCUACAGGUCCAGACUCUGCCCAUGAACCUCUCUGGAGCCUGCUACACACUCUGCAGUCUCAGGUAUCACUCCAGCCCCCAGAGCUCAUCCUUCCACAGCUAGACACUGGAGUGGCCUCCUGCUCUUCCUUCUCCCUCCUACUCCACUCUUAACCACUGUUCUGUAGGUGAUUUGUAAAUGUUUGUUAGGUAAACAGACCAAUCCAUGCAUUGCUUUUCUCCACUGGUUGAAUUCAGACUAAGGAUGAAAAGGCUGAACACAACAACAGUAGAGCUUCAUAAGCAAACAGGAAAUGGUACAUUAUGGGAUGUCAUUCUGAGGAAGGAUGAAGCCUGAUCCUGGUUUGGUAGGAACCAAAGUUCUCUGCCUGACUCACCCAUCUCCACUCUACACAACAGCCAGAGUAACCCCAUUGUGGUGUCUGUCUCACUCACCAAGGAGAAAAGUCUAUUAGAGCAGACAGUGAGCUCAUCAACCAUAAAUACAAAAUCCCAGACACAGACAUUUAUGAUUAAAGAGCAUGAUCUACAAUGCUAAACUAUUUUACAUGGACCAUGGGAAAAACCCAAGUCUGUGAAGAGUGGAAAUCAGCUGUGAGGCACCUGAAAGCUAAAACAAACUCUGCAUGUGCUUUAAAUGAUAAAGUAGGCAACGCAGCCUCACUGCUGUCUCUCUGUGUGCUUUGUGGAAUCCUUAAAAUAAAACAAACUGUUGGUCCCACGAUGACUCUUGAGUGUGCUCUACCCUUCAAAUUGAUUGAGAAGCGAAUCAGGUUGGUUUUUCUGUUUACAUCUGGGCAUGGAAGGGAAUUGUUGGGGAUCCUCCUAGGGACUGCUAGUGAGG